rnacentral:rRNA from 1 species
AUUGAACGCUGGCGGCAUGCUUUACACAUGCAAGUCGAACGGUAACAGGCCGCAAGGUGCUGACGAGUGGCGAACGGGUGAGUAAUGCAUCGGAACGUGCCCAGUCGUGGGGGAUAACUACUCGAAAGAGUAGCUAAUACCGCAUACGAUCUAUGGAUGAAAGCGGGGGACCGUAAGGCCUCGCGCGAUUGGAGCGGCCGAUGUCAGAUUAGGUAGUUGGUGGGGUAAAGGCUCACCAAGCCAACGAUCUGUAGCUGGUCUGAGAGGACGACCAGCCACACUGUGACUGAGACACGGCCCAGACUCCUACGGGAGGCAGCAGUGGGGAAUUUUGGACAAUGGGCGCAAGCCUGAUCCAGCAAUGCCGCGUGCAGGAAGAAGGCCUUCGGGUUGUAAACUGCUUUUGUACGGAACGAAACGGCUCUGGUUAAUACCCGGGGCUAAUGACGGUACCGUAAGAAUAAGCACCGGCUAACUACGUG